rnacentral:rRNA from 1 species
AGUGAACGCUGGCGGUAGGCCUAACACAUGCAAGUCGAACGGCAGCACAGUAAGAGCUUGCUCUUACGGGUGGCGAGUGGCGGACGGGUGAGGAAUACAUCGGAAUCUACUUUUUCGUGGGGGAUAACGUAGGGACACUUACGCUAAUACCGCAUACGACCUACGGGUGAAAGCAGGGGAUCUUCGGACCUUGCGCGAUUGAAUGAGCCGAUGUCGGAUUAGCUAGUUGGCGGGGUAAAGGCCCACCAAGGCGACGAUCCGUAGCUGGUCUGAGAGGAUGAUCAGCCACACUGGAACUGAGACACGGUCCAGACUCCUACGGGAGGCAGCAGUGGGGAAUAUUGGACAAUGGGCGCAAGCCUGAUCCAGCCAUACCGCGUGGGUGAAGAAGGCCUUCGGGUUGUAAAGCCCUUUUGUUGGGAAAGAAAAGCAGCAGGUUAAUACCCCGCUGUUCUGACGUUACCCAAAGAAUAAGCACCGGCUAACUUCGUG